rnacentral:rRNA from 1 species
GACGUAGGGCGCGAGCGUUGUCCGGAUUUAUUGGGCGUAAAGAGCUCGUAGGCGGCUUGUCGCGUCGUCCGUGAAAACCUGCAGCUCAACUGCAGGCUUGCGGUCGAUACGGGCAGGCUAGAGUUCGGUAGGGGAGACUGGAAUUCCUGGUGUAGCGGUGAAAAUGCGCAGAUAUCAGGAGGAACACCGGUGGCGAAGGCGGGUCUCUGGGGCCGAUACUGACGCUGAGGAGCGAAAAGCGUGGGGAGCGAACAGG